UACGGAGGGUGCGAGCGUUGUCCGGAAUCACUGGGCGUAAAGGGCGCGUAGGCGGCCCGCGCAAGCGUGCGGUGAAAGCCCGGGGCUCAACCCCGGGUCGGCCGUGCGGACUGCGGGGCUCGAGCACUGUAGGGGCAGAUGGAAUUCCGGGUGUAGCGGUGGAAUGCGUAGAGAUCCGGAAGAACACCGGUGGCGAAGGCGGUCUGCUGGGCAGUAGCUGACGCUGAGGAGCGAAAGCUAGGGGAGCAAACGGG
rnacentral:rRNA from 1 species